rnacentral:rRNA from 1 species
AGUGAACGCUGGCGGUAGGCCUAACACAUGCCAGUCGAACGGCAGCACAGUAAGAGCUUGCUCUUACGGGUGGCGAGUGGCGGACGGGUGAGGAAUACAUCGGAAUCUACUUUUUCGUGGGGGAUAACGUAGGGAAACUUACGCUAAUACCGCAUACGACCUACGGGUGAAAGCAGGGGAUCUUCGGACCUUGCGCGAUUGAAUGAGCCGAUGUCGGAUUAGCUAGUUGGCGGGGUAAAGGCCCACCAAGGCGACGAUCCGUAGCGGGUCUGAGAGGAUGAUCAGCCACACUGGAACGGAGACACGGUCCAGACUCCUACGGGAGGCAGCAGUGGGGAAUAUUGGACAAUGGGCGCAAGCCUGAUCCAGCCAUACCGCGUGGGUGAAGAAGGCCUUCGGGUUGUAAAGCCCUUUUGUUGGGAAAGAAAAGCAGCAGGUUAAUACCCCGCUGUUCUGACGGUACCCAAAGAAUAAGCACCGGCUAACUUCGUG